rnacentral:rRNA from 1 species
UGAGACUGAGACACGGCCCAGACUCCUACGGGAGGCAGCAGUGGGGAAUAUUGCGCAAUGGGCGAAAGCCUGACGCAGCGACGCCGCGUGAGGGACGAAGGCCUUCGGGUUGUAAACCUCUUUCAGCAGGGACGAAGCGAAAGUGACGGUACCUGCAGAAGAAGCACCGGCCAACUACGUGCCAGCAGCCGCGGUAAUACGUAGGGUGCAAGCGUUGUCCGGAAUUAUUGGGCGUAAAGAGCUCGUAGGCGGUCUGUUGCGUCGGCUGUGAAAACCCGGGGCUCAACCCCGGGCCUGCAGCCGAUACGGGCAGACUAGAGUUCGGCAGGGGAGACUGGAAUUCCUGGUGUAGCGGUGAAAUGCGCAGAUAUCAGGAGGAACACCGGUGGCGAAGGCGGGUCUCUGGGCCGAUACUGACGCUGAGGAGCGAAAGCGUGGGGAGCAAACAGGAUUAGAUACCCUGGUAGUCCACGCCGUAAACGUUGGGCGCUAGGUGUGGGUUCCCUUCCACGGGAUCCGUGCCGCAGCUAACGCAUUAAGCGCCCCGCCUGGGGAGUACGGCCGCAAGGCUAAAACUCAAAGGAAUUGACG